GAUGAAGAACGCAGCGAAAUGCGAUACGUAAUGUGAAUUGCAGAAUUCAGUGAAUCAUCGAAUCUUUGAACGCAUAUUGCGCUCUCUGGUAUUCCGGAGAGCAUGCUUGUUUGAGUAUCAGUAAACACCUCAACUUCCAUAUCUUUUUUGAAAUGGGAGUUGGACUUGAGUGAUCCCAACGCUUUUCCUCACCGAAAAGUGGCGGGUUACUUGAAAUGCAGGUGCAGCUGGACUUUUCUCUGAGCUAUAAGCAUAUCUAUUUAGUCUGCCUAAAAAACAGAUUAUUACCUUUGCUGCAGCUAACAUAAAGGAGAUUAGUUCUUGUGAUGACUGAUGCAGGAUUCACAAAGACAGGCUUCGGCCGACUUUGUAAACUCGAUCUCAAAUCAAGUAAGACUACCCGCUGAACUUAAGCAUAUCAAUAAGCGGAGGA
rnacentral:misc_RNA from 1 species